GACAGAGGUCCCAAGCGUUAGGCGGAAUCACUGGGCUUAAAGCGUGUGUAGGCGGAUGCCUAAGUACCUUGUGAAAUCCCACGGCUCACCCGUGGAACUGCUUGGUAUACUGGGUGUCUUGAGCCACUUAGGGGCUACCGGAACAAAUGGUGGAGCGGUGAAAUGCGUAGAUAUCAUUUGAACGCCAACGGUGAAAACAGGUAGCUGGGAGUGUGCUGACGCUGAGACACGAAAGCCAGGGAGCAAACGGG
rnacentral:rRNA from 1 species